UCUGGUUGAUCCUGCCAGUAGUCAUAUGCCUGUCUCAAAGAUUAAGCCAUGCAUGUCUAAGUAUAAGCAAUUUAUACAGUGAAACUGCGAAUGGCUCAUUAAAUCAGUUAUCGUUUAUUUGAUAGUUCCUUUACUACAUGGUAUAACUGUGGUAAUUCUAGAGCUAAUACAUGCUUAAAAUCUCGACCCUUUGGAAGAGAUGUAUUUAUUAGAUAAAAAAUCAAUGUCUUCGGACUCUUUGAUGAUUCAUAAUAACUUUUCGAAUCGCAUGGCCUUGUGCUGGCGAUGGUUCAUUCAAAUUUCUGCCCUAUCAACUUUCGAUGGUAGGAUAGUGGCCUACCAUGGUUUCAACGGGUAACGGGGAAUAAGGGUUCGAUUCCGGAGAGGGAGCCUGAGAAACGGCUACCACAUCCAAGGAAGGCAGCAGGCGCGCAAAUUACCCAAUCCUAAUUCAGGGAGGUAGUGACAAUAAAUAACGAUACAGGGCCCAUUCGGGUCUUGUAAUUGGAAUGAGUACAAUGUAAAUACCUUAACGAGGAACAAUUGGAGGGCAAGUCUGGUA
rnacentral:rRNA from 1 species